rnacentral:rRNA from 1 species
GGCUCAGAUUGAACGCUGGCGGAAUGCUUUACACAUGCAAGUCGAACGGUAGAGGGGGCAACCCUCGAGAGUGGCGAACGGGUGAGUAAUAUAUCGGAACGUGCCCAGUCGUGGGGGAUAACGUAGCGAAAGCUACGCUAAUACCGCAUACGAUCUAUGGAUGAAANCGGGGGAUCGCAAGACCUCGCGCGAUUGGAGCGGCCGAUAUCAGAUUAGGUAGUUGGUGAGGUAAAGGCUCACCAAGCCGACGAUCUGUAGCUGGUCUGAGAGGACGACCAGCCACACUGGGACUGAGACACGGCCCAGACUCCUACGGGAGGCAGCAGUGGGGAAUUUUGGACAAUGGGCGCAAGCCUGAUCCAGCAAUGCCGCGUGCAGGAUGAAGGCCUUCGGGUUGUAAACUGCUUUUGUACGGAACGAAACGGUGAGCUCUAAUACAGUUUGCUAAUGACGGUACCGUAAGAAUAAGCACCGGCUAACUACGUG